UGGGGAAUAUUGGACAAUGGGCGCAAGCCUGAUCCAGCCAUGCCGCGUGAGUGAUGAAGGCCCUAGGGUUGUAAAGCUCUUUCAGCGAGGAGGAUAAUGACGUUACUCGCAGAAGAAGCCCCGGCUAACUUCGUGCCAGCAGCCGCGGUAAUACGAAGGGGGCUAGCGUUGUUCGGAAUCACUGGGCGUAAAGCGCACGUAGGCGGACUUUUAAGUCAGGGGUGAAAUCCCGGGGCUCAACCUCGGAACUGCCUUUGAUACUGGAAGUCUGGAGUCCGAGAGAGGUGAGUGGAACUCCGAGUGUAGAGGUGAAAUUCGUAGAUAUUCGGAAGAACACCAGUGGCGAAGGCGGCUCACUGGCUCGGUACUGACGCUGAGGUGCGAAAGCGUGGGGAGCAAAACAGGAUUAGAUACCCUGGUAGUCCACGCCGUAAACGAUGGAAGCUAGCCGUCAGGGUGCAUGCAUCUUGGUGGCGCAGUUAACGCAUUAAGCUUCCCGCCUGGGGAGUACGGUCGCAAGAUUAAAACUCAAAGGAAUUGACGGGGUCAUAGCUGUUUCCU
rnacentral:rRNA from 1 species